CAGUAGCCGCGGUAAAACGUAGGGCGCAAGCGUUGUCCGGAAUUAUUGGGCGUAAAGAGCUCGUAGGCGGCUUGUUGCGUCGGUUGUGAAAGCCCGGGGUUAAGCCCCGGGUCUGCAGUCGAUACGGGCAGGCUAGAGUGUGGUAGGGGAGAUCGGAAUUCCUGGUGUAGCGGUGAAAUGCGCAGAUAUCAGGAGGAACACCGGUGGCGAAGGCGGAUCUCUGGGCCAUUACUGACGCUCAGGUGCGAAAGCGUGGGGAGCAAACAGGAUUAGAUACCCCUGUAGUCCCUGUCUCUUAUAC
rnacentral:rRNA from 1 species